rnacentral:lncRNA from 1 species
AAUGAUCAUCAUAUUACUUUUAUUUAAUAUUAUUGUAAAGUCGUUUUUAAUUUACAUAUGUUUAAAAUCAACAAAUUAUAUAAAAAAGCUUUAUAAAUUACUUUAUAAAAAUAUGAUAAAUUAAUUAAUAUUAAAACAUUCCAACCAACCCAACAAAAAAGCAUCGGGUAAUAUUAGAAUGAAAUCAACAUCUAAUUUUAUUUCUUAGGCCUGAUUCGACAUCUAAUUCUAUCAGACCAUCCACAAUACCUGCUACGAACAACGAACCACCUCAAUAUCAUCGCCUUCCACAACGAAGCCGGUAUACUCAUCACACAGUGAUUGUGGUGGUGGUGGAUUUCACCUGCAACAGAGAAGAAGAGAGAAGAAGACUAGUCGCGGUGGGCUGUAAUGGGAAGCACGAGAGACCACGACCAUGGCUCCAGGUCAGCACAACGAGAGGAUCGGGGCGGUGUUCACAUUACCUGUUUCCACUUCAAUUUCUGGUUUUGAUUUGGGGAUUUAAGUUCAUUAAGGAGGGUUUGAGAAGUAAUUGCUAGGAUUCUUUUAUGAAAUCGGUGCUUCAAGCUCUUCCCCUGUCAAACAAUAAACUUAAACACCCAAUCACCCAUUGAUUUCUAUAAAAAAAAAAAAAUGAAGGCAAACAGCCGGAGCUGUUGCCUCGUUUCCAACCUCAACGACUAGCUGGAGACCCUUUCCCUUAAUCAGAUUCUUUCAAAACGAAAAAAGGAGAUACCUUCUGCGUUUGAACUCCAAUCACCUAACAAUCUAUACUUGAACCUUUUCUCAUCCUUCCGUCGAUCCUUGUUGACAAACCGUCCCCACCGGAGAUGCCUCCCCCUCCUCGUGACCUAGUAACCAUCGCCAAAGAUCGACUGCUCCUUGUUUGUUAUAGAUUACCACCAUCGAGCCACUUCCUNCAC